GAGUUUGUUUCUUAAUAAUUGGUAGCCGUUACCAGAAUUUGUUGGAAAUUAUACAGCGGAAGUAACCACAAAGCAAAAAUUAAUGGACAAGAGAAAACAACUUAUAGCCACCCUUGAGUAAGAAAGUAACUCCCAAGAUCAUGCUAAAAUAUAAUUAGUGGACGAACUGCUGUCACACAACUUUAUAAAAUGCCUCCACAUGAGUGAUCAAUCCAUACCAUCAACAACAUCUAAUUAUAUUAUAUAGAUCGUCAAGAAAACAUCAUCACUUAAUACAUCAUCGAACACAAGAUGGAUUACAGCUCUUGCUCUCAGCUGCUAGUACUUGCAAUACUAGUUUUGUUUUCUUUGGCCCAAAAUAUAAUCAAUUCAUCUUCCAACGGAGUUUUCAAUGUAAUUGACUUUGGUGCUAUCGCCGAUGGCAUUAGAGAUAACAGUAAGGCUUUUGAAAAUGCUUGGAGAGAAGCUUGCUAUUGGAAUACCUACAGCACAGUAUUGGUUCCACCGGGAAAAUACUUAGUGACUUCUGUUGUAUUUAAAGGUCCAUGCAAAGCUCCAAUUUCGUUUCAACUUCAAGGCCUUAUCCUGGCUCCCCCCGGUCUGUCAAAGCUAGCCGAUAAGGAAAGCUGGAUCACCUUUGAAUCCCUCAGAAGCUUCACUCUCACCGGCGGUGGAACUUUCCAUGGCCAAGGCCGAACUGCAUGGCCGGAAAAUCAAUGCCACAAAAAUUCAAAUUGCCAGCUUCCCAUUGUAAUUCUUGCAACACUUUCUUAUUUGUUUAUUUAUUACAUUUAUGUAUGUAUUUGUUUUUUAAUCUUUAUAAUGAAAAAAGUUUGACAACUGCUUUGAUUUUCUAUUUUGCAGUCGAUACGAUUUAAUAAACUGAAUGACUCGACAAUCACUGGGGUGCAAUCUGUUGAUAGCAAGUUCUUCCACAUUAACAUCUUGGGUUGCUACAAUUUGAAGCUGAAUAAAAUUAACAUCUCUGCACCUGAUGAUAGUCCGAAUACUGAUGGAAUUCAUAUUGGAAGAUCAAAUGGCAUUGAGAUAUCGAAUUCAAUAAUAGCCACUGGAGAUGACUGUGUCUCUCUUGGUGAUGGCAGUCAAAAUGUCUUGGUGUCUGAUGUUUCUUGCGGACCAGGACAUGGGAUCAGCGUUGGCAACCUUGGAAAAUAUAAAAAGGAAGAAGAUGUAGUUGGAUUGACAGUCAUCAAUUGCACUUUCACAGGCACAAGUAAUGGUGUGAGAAUUAAGACAUGGCCUGAUUCUGAGGAUGGAAAGGCUUUCAAUUUCACAUUUGAAGACCUUUUCAUGAAUAAUGUGGAAAAUCCCAUUGUUAUUGAUCAGGAGUAUUGCCCACAUAACCAAUGUAAUAUAAAGGUACAGAAAGAUUAAUUGAUUACUCAUUAUUUGCUUAUAUCUCUAGGUUUAUGCACAAAUCUCGUCUUGGCAUCAUAACGUUAGCUAAUAUUUACUAAUUACCCAUUUUAAUAGGUUCCUUCACGGGUGAAAUUAGCAAUGUGAGAUUUAGGAACAUCCGAGGAACUUCAUUAACAAAAGAGGCUGUUAGAAUUGUUUGCAGCAAAGAGAUUCCAUGCCAAAAUGUUGAGAUUGGAGACAUAAAUUUGGUGUAUAAUGGUAUUGAUGAUAAGGGCCCGGCAAUAUCUUCUUGUUCAAAUGUUAAACCAACUCUUGUCGGAAAACAGAUUCCAGCAACUUGCGUCUAACUAGGUUUCCCAGGCUCUUCAAUGUCUAAAUCAUGUAUUUUAUUUUUCCAUUAUUUGAUUCGAGGAUAUCGAUUGCCCCCCUGGGAUUGUUACUUGUAAUAUCAAUAAAUUAACUAGUAAAGAUCAUUUAUUGUGUUUAAUUCCCUGAUUUUCCCAAGAAAUGAACACCCUAAGAUUUCAAUACUCCCCCGAGAUUCAAUCAAGAGUAACAGAAAAUCAAGGAAUAAUAGAUCAAACAACAAAGAAAACAAGGGAUAAAAAUACUUAAGUAAUUUAGCAACCAGAGGUGCUUACAUGCACUAGUGAACAAGAUCAAAUGCUUUCACUAAACAAGAAUCAAAGUUUACAGACAGUGGCGUAACUACUCUUAUGCCUUGUGUUGACCAAAAUUUUGGAAACUUUUUUAAUUCUAUGAAAAUUUUCUAAAUAUUAAGUAAAAAGUAAGAGUUAAGAAAAAUAUUAAUCGUCAACAUCUACUAAACUUUGAAAACACAUUAAUUCCCCGUCUACUUUAUAGUCCUUACUAUUUUACUAUUUAUUUAUAGAAAAAGUAAAUUAUCUAACUUUUUUCCUUCCAUCAAAGAGAUGUAAUUAUAUCUCAACAUCUUAAGACUUGAAAUUGGAGUUUUCGUCUUCUAUUUCUUUUUUUUAAGUUUAUUUCACAUAAUACAGCUAAACGAACUAUUCAACUUUAAGUUCUUUGAUUCUUUCCCACAAGGGGGAAAGCCACCAACUAUACCUAAAGAUUCAAGAAGGUAAAGUUGGUACAGAAUGAAACAAUGUAAAGAAAGUUUAAUUUUAAUAAAUGAUUGAAUUAGAUAGUAUAAUAUACAAUUAUUUUGUACUUUCUUCAAUCUCAUUGGUAACCCCAAAUUAAAAUCCUACUCCACCCGUGACUGCAGAGCUAUAGAGCUCAUUACAAAGAACAAAAUGCUACCAAGAAUUCUCUCUACAACUUUCUCUAGGCUCACGAAGCGAUCUGCAAAUUAUGCUCAUCAAUUAGCCUUACAAAAGUUGUUUUUAGCAAACCCAGGGAACAUCGGCUCCUUCUAACUAACUUCUAACUACUUUUGGGCCCACAUUCUAAGCUUCUCACGUGCUCAGCGCAUGUAACUUAAGUUAGCAAGAAAAGAUGGAUAACUAAUUUAACUCCGAAAACAUAUGCAUUGUCGUCCGCUUAUAAACGACAAUCCGGUCACUAACUUUAACUCUGAACGUCUUAUCGGGCUCUUCGAGUUCUUGUCCAAAUCUCUCUUUUCCUUCUACAUUGAACUACUGACAAUGGUGUGUGUAUUGAAAUUAAAUCACUAUCAAAUUCUAUAUUGGCAAAGGAAUUCCACUUGAAGGAUUAUUUUUUUCUUUAAUCUACUGUUUAAAUAAUAUGAUCUCACCAGUUGUUUUAUUUAUUUAUUGUUGUCUACAUGAAAAUAAAUUAAAUUAGAAAAUAAAUAUUUUAUUUUCUCCAAAAAAAAAAUAUUUCUUCCUCUCUCUCAUUUCUCAAAUCCACAAAUUAAGAUACUAUCGUAAUUAUAGCAAUUUUGAUAUGAUAUUAUUUGAAAUUAAUUUAAGAAAGAUUAAUUGAUGAUGAAAGUGAAUAUGAAAUAUUAUUACUGUAUAUUCUUCAUAUUAUUUACACAAAGAAUGAGCCUAUAUAUAGGCUUUACAUGAAGCUAAAAUAAGAAACUGAACAAAUACAAAUACAACAUAAAUCGUGGGAUAUACAUAAUCAUAAUCUAGGGAAUUAAUGGAGAUUGAUUGGACGAGUGAUUCUUGCUCAACAUAUCUUGGGAAUUAACGGAUAUUGAUUGGAUGAGUGAUUCUUGCUUAACACCCCCCUCAAACUCAAGAUGGUGUGGUAGAAGUAAGCUUGAGUUUGCAAACGAGGUCAUCAGCUCGGUAAAAAAGACUUGGUAAAAAGAUCAAUUGUAUUAUCUCGAGAGGACACAAAUUGAAGCUUUAUGGUACCUUGGGCGUAAUGUUGGCGAAUAAAAUGGCAAUCUAUCUCUAUGCGUUUAGUGUGCUCAUGGGAGACAUCAUUGUGAGUGAUUUCAAUGGCACUUGUAUUUUCACAGUAAAGAGAUGUAGCUACAUUAUGAGUAACUCCCAUGUCCCUUAGUAAUCGACGAAGCCAAACAAUCUCUUGAGCCGCAUUAGCAAGUGCCUGAUACUCAGCAUCAACAAUAGAUAAAGUAACAACAAUUUGUUUCUUAUUAUACAGAGUAAAUCACCUAAAAAGAAGCAAAUACCAAUGGUAGAACAUCAAUCAAUAAGAUCAUCUGCCCAAUCAAAAUCAGAAAAACGAUGUAGUUCUAAAGAAGAAUUGGCUGAAAAGUGGAGACUAUGAAACAUGGUCUCUUUAAGAUUUCGCAAGAUAUUAAUGACAGCUGCAUUAUGAGUCGAGCGAGGAGUCGACAUAAACUGACUAACAAAAGGGACAGCAUAGGCUGUAUCAAGUCUUGUGACUAUCAAAUAAACCAAACUUCCAAACAAUUGUCAAUAAAGAGUAGCAUCAUUAAGUGAUGUUCCAUCAAACAACACAAAGUAAAUGUUAGGAUCAAUAAGUGUAGAGGAAUUUGAUUAUCAGUCAAACUAGCUUUAGUAAAAAGAUCAGAAGCAUAUUUACCUUAUGAAAGAUAGUAACUAGAUGAAUCAAAGAGUACCUCAAGAUCAAUAAAGAAACUAAGAUGUCCACGAUCUUUCAUUUCAAAGUGAUGUUGAAGAAAAGCUUUAAGAUCUAUAAUAUUUGUAAGAUCAUCUCCAAUAAUAAUCAUAUUAGAUCAUCUCCUGUAAUAAUCAUAUCAUCAACACAGUGUAAUAAAAGAAUACAUCCUUUGUUGGUGUUGCGAACAAAAAUAAAAAAUAAAGUCAUAACACUGGCAUCAAAACCAAAUUACUUGAUUGUGGUACGAAACUUCUCAUACCAUGCUCUCGAUGCCUGUUUAAGGCCAUACAAGGCAUGGCCAAGUUUGCAAACCUGAUUUGGAGGAUGAAAGUAACCAAGAGGAGGUUUCAUAUAGACUUCUUCAGAGAGAUUGGCACUAAGAAAAGCAUUCUUUACAUCCAUUUGAAAUAAUACCCAACGACGAACAGUGGCAACAGCUAAUAAGCUUCUUAUAGACGUAAGGCAUUCAACAGGUGCAAAAGCCUCAUCAUAAUUAGUGCUACAUCCUUGAGUAUUGGUAAUGUCAUUAGGGUGCACCAAAUUUAAAACGUUACUAAUAAUAUAAACAAUUAGUACAGAGCGAGCGAGGAUUGAUUCGAUGAAGACUAUGCUAGUUGUAUAUAUUAUUAACUCUAAAACAAAGACUUAAAAUAAAAUAAUAAUAAUAAUAAUAAAUUAUGAAAAUAAUAAUUUAAUAGAAACUCUAAUUAAAGGUAAAACAAAUAAUAAUAAUGAAACUUUGGUCAAAGGAUCAUUCGCCACCACCAAACAUGCACAUAAUCAAUAAAUCAAUUCUAUCAUCAAUUUCUAUUGAAACUAUCAACCAUUGACAACAAUAAGAUUUGUUAAUCUCUAUCUUUCCUUAUUAUAUCGUUAGGAAAAAUAAUUUCUUCAACUAAUCUCUGACCAUUAAAUAAUUCAAAACAAGCUCUUGAAGUUUAAGAUAAUAGAAGCAUUAAUUAGAGAAAGAUAUUAGGCUGAUCUAGAUAAUAAACACACAAGCUCGAAUUAUUUAACUUAGGUUAUGUUCUUCAAUUGAAAUCACUUAUUCCAAUUUGCUACUAAUGAUAAAAUAUCAAGACAAUUACGAAUCAAGAAUUUAAUUUAGCAAUAGAAUUUAUUCAAAUCCUAUCUAAUUGGCCAUUCAAAUAAGAUAAUGAUAAAAUCAUAAACAUUUAUUAUACAAGAACAUAAACAAUCUCAAUUAAAUAAACUGAAUGAUAGAAAUUGAAUAUUAAUCAUAUGAUAUGUUUAGGGUUUUGAAUUCACCCUUAACCAAAUAGAAUAUCUAGCCUAGCAUAAUUAAAUUGAAAAUAAAAGAGUUGAUAAAACCAAUUAUGGAGAUUAAUCCAAGUGGCUGCUGAUCCAAUUUAGUUCCUUCGGGCUUCUCUUUUUUUUUUUUUUUUUUUUUUCUCUUCUUGCGGCCGUCUCUAGCUCUUGGGUUUUUGUGUAUUUCUCCUUCUGGCAGCCGCCAUUCAAAAGCCAAAGGUUGGCUUUUUAUAAUGCUUGGUUGAAUACUUGUAGAAUCCUUGUAGAAUUAGGUUGCUUGGCCACCAAUUAUAACCUAAGUAUCCUCCAACAUGGACAAGCCAAAUAAAGCCAUUAGUUGAUCACGUGCAGGCCACUUUUGGUCUUAAUUGCUUUUCCUUUUUAAUUUCCUUUGUUUAUUUUUUUUCUCAAUGUGCAAGAUUAAUUCAAUAAUUAGGUGAUUUUUCUUGGCCCUCUAUUAUAACUUCCUUAUGUAUAGAUUUCCUUGUAAAAAUAAUGCUUCUCAUGUGCAUGCACUAUUAGAAAAAUGGACUACCAUGACAGAGAAUAUAUGUCAUCCGACCCCCCUUAUGACAGAGUUUCCAUAUGUCAUUGUAGCCCCUCUCAUAAAUCUGUGACAACAUUUUAUCUAUCACAUGUUUCUAUGACAGUGUAUAUCCAUCACACAUAUGUCAUGAACCAAGCGAUGUCCGUUUUGCAAAGCUUUCGAGAAUUAAUUGAAAAUUUUAGCAGGUAAUUUAAAUUAUUUUGAAUUUGGUGGGUUUCUUCAAAAUCUGUCAUAUAUUAAUGAUUUACAUUCUCUAUCAAGAGAUUUAAGGUUUAAAAAAAUAAAAUUAUUAUUUUCAAUUUUGAAAUUAUAUUAAUACUAAUUAACAUGAUUUAAAUUCCAGAAUUUUGAAAUAGAAAUAGCAAAUGCCACAUUUUAAAACUUGAAUUAACAAAAAUAAAAUUACAUUCAAAUUCAUAAAACUAUCUAAUACCAAAUAGCACCAUACACUAAAAUUUUCAAUCACUUGAAACUUCCAACAAAUAGCAUCAUCAAAAUACAUCGUGUAACAUAUCUCACAAAUCCUUUGCAAUAUCCAAUCAUCAGCCUAUCACUAGAAAAACAAUUAAUCCAUAAAAAAACACUGAUAUUAAAUUCCCGAAAGCCACCAACAUCACCUGAAAAAUAGAUUAACCAAAAAAAUACAGAUUAACAUGUUGACCACAUACAAUUAAUCAAAUUCACAAUAAAGUUCACUAGUGUGUAAUUGAUUUAAUCAGCUUUGAUACCAAAGGGAAAAUGAGGAUAAAUAGCCCCAGAGGAAAAAAACUCACAUUUGACAAUUGACAUAAUGAAGCAGUAAGCCUCACGAGUUGUAAAAAAGAAAUAGGAAAGGGAAAAUAAGGGACAUCUUCAAUGCAUGUAGUUUAUAUUAGCCUAAAUAGGAAAGGGAAAAUAAGGGACAUCUUCAAUGCAUGUAGUUAUUAACCUUUUUUUUUUUUUUGUUCCUAAAGAUGUAUUAAGAGGAAAAAGGAUAUUCAUUCAAUGCCUGCAUUUCCUAUUUGUUAAUCUAAUUAUUCUCCUAUUCCUAUUGGUUAAUAAGGGAGUCAAUAAGAUUUUAAUUUAACAAUAUAGCAGUGACAAUUAACUAGGUCUUCAUUAAGAGUUGUUGAAUUAGAAAAGAUUGAAGUAUAAACAAACUAUUGUGCAACAUAAUACAUACCGAAGAGAAAUAUCGAAUCAAGUGCAAUGCCAAAUACAAGAAAAGAGAAUUUUUAGUCUAGCCUUCUAUAGAUUUCAAUUUUGAAUUUCUUUAUGCACCAAACUGAGUAUAUUUCAAGGGAGAUUGCCAAUUUCCCCCCUACAGUAAUCAAUAUAUAUCAUUUCCCCCCCUGCUAUUUUUAUAAUGGCAAAAAAUCCCCUGACAACAUAAGUUUACAAUAUUACCCUUAUUUUCAACUACUCUUUUAUUUUCAUUUAUUAUAAAUUAAAUAAAUCACAUGAAUAGAAACUAAAUAAAAAAUUAAGCAUUAAAAACAAGAAAUAUAUGUUUUGAUAUGAGAAAAAAAUUAAUAAUAAUUUUUUUUUCUUUUACUUAUUUAUUUUGUGAAAAUUUUCUUAUAAUAAAUAUAUAAGAAAGGUAUUAUAAAAUGAUAAAAAACUUAUUAUAAGAAAAUUUGAAUGACAAAUAAAAAUUUAUUAUAAGAUAAAUAAUAAAAUAUUUUACCUAUACUUUUUACAUUUAAUUUUAAAAUAUUACAAAAUGUUUAUUAUAAGAAACUUUUCACAAAUAAAUAAUUACAAGAAAAAAAAAUUAUUAUUAAUUUUUUUGCUCAUAUCAAAACAUAUAUUUCUUGUUUUUAAUACUUAAUUUUUUUAUUUAGUUUCUAUUCAUGUAAUUUAUUUAAUUUAAAAUAAAUAUAAAUAAAAGAGAAAUUAAAAAUAAGGGUAUAUCGUAAACUUAUGUUGUCAUGGGGGUUUUUGACCAUUAUAAAACUAGUGAGGGGGUAAAUGAUAUAUGUUAAUUACUGUAGGGGGGAAAGUGGCAAUCCUCCUAUAUUUCAAAGACUACAAAUUAAUUAAUGAAAAACAUCUAAAAUCAUAACAACUUUCCAUACAUAAUUAAACCAAAUCCACCAAAAUCAAGCUAAUAAAAAGAAAGGUAAAAGUUCUAAAAAUCCAAAAGAGGAAAUAUCAAAAAAUUAUGGAAUCACCAGAAUCUCUCCAUUCUAUCAACCUUAAUGCCAUGCUUGUAGGCUUGUGAACACUGACCCUAUCCAACUCAAAGAAAGAAGACGCAGACUAGUAUUCUCAUCUGGAUUACAUCACAUUAGCAUUUGAGAUAUUUUUACUUUAAUGUUUCAAAGAGAAGAAUUUUUGUUAAAGCAAGAUUUUCAACAAAUAUGUUAAAAGGAAUGCUCAUUGUCCAAGGAUUUAAAAGGAUGCCGAGUAUAAGUUUGUUUACAAUAUAUUUUUUAUUUUUCUUUUUUCUUGUUAAACUAAGAUAAACUGAAAAAUACAAGUAUAUCUUGAUUUUAAAAAUCAACCAAGACAAGAAAAUAGAAUGAACAACUAUUCUUAUAGGUAAUGAAUGGAAAACCUCUAAAUGUAGUCAUUGGUUUAGUAAGGACAGUUGGAACCAUAAACAGUGGAUAAGUUUCUAAUAAAAAUAAUAAAAUCCAUCAUCUAUAUAAGUUGAGAAAAAAUAAAUUUCAUGUCAAAGAUCUAAAAAAUAUGAAGGAAACCUGAUAGUAAACAAAUAUUCAAUUCAUAAUAGUAUGAAUAAUAAAAACAUUAUUGUCAACCUGAAACGUAAAGUUGCUUUGUGUUUUUGUCAGCCAGUCCUAUUGUUUUUAGCAAAACAACAAACCUUAGCAUUUUAAUUGGUAACAAAUCAGAGCCAACAUAAAAAAAAAAUUAGAAAAGAUAUAGAGAUGUAUUCUACCAUUGUGCAAUGCUGGUAUCGUCACCGUCUAGUAGCCAUGGUCUAGUAAUCGAAUUAGCCACCAAGUCGAGAUCGUUCCAUAACUUCCUCCUCAGAUUUGGGUUGGGGCUAGCAUAAACAGUAGUGACUCACGACCAAUUGCCUGAAGAAUCUGUAACUUUAAAUUGAAUGAACUGCUUGUGGUUAAAAAUAAACUCCAUCCUGAAGCCCUCUUUCCACAAAAUCCAAAUACCCUCGGCAAAACCCUCAGCUUCCUCUCGAUGCGAGAAAUCUAAACCACUAUGUUUAAUAAAGUUAUCAGCUUUAACUCCGCUAAUUUUAGGCUCCAAGAUUGCAACAAUAUCAGGAUUAUAAAUCUUAUCGAUUGUGACAAAGGUUCUUCUAAAAACCGGUGAAGACACCCCUUGGCAAUUCCAAAAAAGUAUAGAUAAAUUCAUUAAGAUAUACAGAAAAAAAGGGAGGAAUCUGUCCAUACCAGACUUCAUUCAGAUUCCAUGUUACCUCAUCUUCCAAGGAGGUUCCGCUAUCAUCAGAUUCUGAGUCACUUUUCUCACAUUUAUCCUUAAACUUCUUAUCAUCCGGGUCAUCUUCAUCAUUGGCAUCCAUUUCCAAAUCAUUAUCAGGGGGUUUGUCUCGAUCAUCAAUCGGGAUAUUAGGAUCAGCAAGCUUCUUAUUUGGUCUAGUUGGAUCUAAACUAAUAUCUUUAGGGUCCGAAUGAAAAUCAUGUGGGGGAAGGAAUUUGAUUGCUGUGUGUUUUACAGGGUCCAGGCUAGUGGGAAUAGCGGUGGGAACAGGUAAGUUGGAUGAGGUUGCAGGGUUUUUAGAUUGUGCACGUGACAAUGCUUCUGCAUGCACAAAAAUUGGUGUGGACUUUUCACUAAUAGGGUUUACAUUCAAAAAUGAGUAUUUGGCGGUUGUGUCACUUGGAGUUUGCAUAGCUGGAGAGUUGACAUUUGCAUGGCUAUUUAUGAUAGUAGGAUUCUUAGGAUUCUUUUUAGAUCUGAAUUUGAACUGAAUAGCCGACUGAUCUUUUUCGGUAUUGUGCCCAUUUUUGUCAUGAAGGGAAGGAAAACCUCUAUCCUCAUUAUCCUCAUUUUCGAGCACCUCAAAACGUGAUCCCCCUGAAAACACCACCACUGUUGACUUUCCCCUUCCUUUUCGACUGACAAUUAUCCAGGGUCCGAAAGAAGGGUUUGCUGGGAUGACUGUAGAGGACCACGGUUUAUCACCACCACUGUUAGUUAUGUUCCCAACCCCAUUGUUCUCUGAAUUUUUGUUGCUCCUUUUAUUGUCUUGAGCUGAGGACAAUUUUCAUUCUUAUGACCAUUGAUCCCACAAUUAAAACAUAUAACCGGCAAAUUUUCAUACUCCACUUUCUGCAUUUUGCCAUCUAGAAAAAACUGUGAACAAAGAGGUUUAUUAAGUGAAACCUCAACUGCAAUACGCGCAAACUUCCCUCUUGUUAAUGACUCAGUGUUGUAAUCGAUUCGAAUCACUUUUCCAACGACGUUCCCAAUCAUGCGAAGAACCCUUUUAUGAUAAUAGUCUAGAGGCAUUCCCAGUAAUCGAAUUCGAGCAACAAUGUUGUCAAUAUUAUCAUUGGAGCUGUCGAAGUGAGGGUUCCAUUGUUGCACAGUGAGACAAUGACCAAGAAUGGUCCAAGGACCUUGUGUUAGAGCAUAAUGGGCGUCUCCUUCAGUUUUGAACCAAGUCAAUAACAGAGAAUCCUUGUGACAUUUUCCAGAGAUCAUUCAACCUAUACAGAGUGCCCUACAACCAAUAGUUCUUCCAAGAAGCUUGACCACUACCGCAUUCAUCCAUGGUUUCACCAGUUGUGCAUGGAUCUUUUUGAGAAAGAAAUGGAUGGGAUGCUUCCCUUUUCACUAAUAGUUACAUCUUUGGUAUCAAAUUCCAAAUCUUCUUCUCUCCCCAAAAACUCCUCAUCAAGUUCAUUAUGGUCUUCCAUUAAUUUCUCUUCAAAAGAUAACGAAGAUGGAUUCUCAUCUUCAUUCCCUUGGUUUCUAAAUCUUUCCUUUUUCGUUGAACGGUCCUCCUCCAGUGGCUGUGGAGGUUCCUAGCUUAAGUUACCGCUACUCAUACAGGCAUAAGCUCGAGUUAAAUUAAAAUGAUUCUCCCCCACUACAUUCCUUUUCUUAGUAUUGAUUAUAAAUGUUACUUCGAUUUUUUCCCUAAAACAAAAGCAUCUGAAAAUCAGUAUUUUCACACAUAUGUAAUAUGUCCUUUAAACCGAUAAAAUACUUGUUCAUUUAUUUAUUUUUUAGUGCAUCAGUUAUUAAUUUGUUGAGAUUAAAUAUUUAUUUAUUUAUUUAAUUUUGAAGAAACAUUAGCUAUUAAUUAAUAGAUUUUUUAUAGUCCCAAAAUUUAUUGAGGUUCUAUUGUAUAUAAUAAUUUUUCGCGGUUUGAACUUGGGCCAAAGGGUUAAAUUUUUUUUGAAAACCAUUAUACAACCCUAAGUUAUUACCUUACCAUAUUUUCUUUAUAAUUGUUAAUGAAUUAAAUUCUUCAAAGUUUAGGGUAAUUCAUUUAGUAACUUUACGCCCGUAUAUUAAAUAUGGUAAGAGCUAAUUACUUAAAACAGAUAAAUUCUUAACCUUAGACUCAUCACAAACGCUCAUAUCAACCAGAAAACCAGAGGGAGACAAAAGAUUGAAAAUAAAGAAGGUAGAGAAUGAGGACGAUAGAAUGAUAACAUUCUCAAAACGUAGAUCAGGCAUCCACAAGAAGGCCAGUGAGCUUGUCACUCUCACUGGAGCUGAGAUAGGAAUUGUGGUGUUCUCACCAUCUGGGAAGCCUUUCUCAUUCGGGCAUCCUUCCCUAGAAGCCGUUGCGAACCAGGAGCAUCCGAAUGACAACACUCAUCUGCUGGUUGAGCUCACCGCUAGGUGAGAAUUAGUGAACUGAAUCAGCAGCAUAAUGAGCUGCUGUGCUGGCUGGAUGAGGAAAAUGCACGGGAGAAGAUCCUGAACCAAAAUAGGAAGGGGAAAGAGACUCAGCCUCAUUGGUGGGAAACCCCAGUUGAUGAGCUCAAGCAUCAGGAGCCGCUUCAAAUGGAUGCGGCAGUUGAUCUGCACAAAACUUUUCUAGCCAAACUAUAUGAACAGCCUGCUGUCACCUCUUCCUCCAUGGCACCUCCUAUGUAUUUUCAUCAUAAAUAAUAUAUCUGACUAUCCUUUAAAUUUGGCAUUUGUCUACAGAAAAUCUGAAGAAGCUACAGGUCCAAAUGAUUAACUUGAAAAUACUAAAAAGCUAGCGACCGUAAAUGGCUAGGAUACAAUUUCAGAAUACAACUCAUUUAUUCCCAAAACUUGGACAUAAUUUGGUGAGCAUCUUUAGCAGCAAAACUCAAACUAAUCUGUUAAUAUAAUCAAGUAAUGGACUGCUUCACUGUUGAUGAACCAGAUUUGAGUCAUAUAUAAAACUCACCAUGCAAUUACAUCAUCGAACUAGCUAUUUAAACCAUGAUCAUGAUAACAAGUGGAUAAAUAUACUCCCGAAAACAAGUGAAUCGCUCUAAAUAUAUUUGAAAUUCCUACAUUUGGAAUUUGAUGAAGAAUGAAGGUAAGGGAUUUAGAGGGCAAUAAAAAAGAUACAUAUAUUUAUAAGGUUUGGAUGGAAAUGAAAAUCCUUGUCCACUAAACGUUAACCCCUGCCCCAAAGAACUUUUUCUCAAACUCGGGUAAUCAGGUAUAAAGUGAAAUCAUGGCCGAUUGAACUGCGCCCUCGGGCUUUUGGUUUCACAUGAUUGUUUGUGAUACAAAGGAAACAAUAAAUCUUUUCAACUUAUAAUAUUAAUACAAAAUUGACAACCAUUCAUGUAAAACGACAAAAGAAUAAUUUAAUCUAGUAAUAGCUAAAAUGCAGAUUAUCUACAGGAGCAAUUACGGUAUAGUUACUCAUCUACUGAUACACAAGAGACAAUUGAUGUCAUACAUUGAAAAAGCAUGAUUUUGGGGUGAUGCAUAUUUACGAGUUGUUUAGCCACAUCAACGAUUGUCGAUCGAUCAUCUGCAGUGGUAUUAUCAACGAAACAGUCCAGUGCAACAUGGAAACAUUAUUAUUUGAAAUAAAUAUAAAGAAAGAUUAUUGAUGACAACAAAAAGCCUUGAAGUUUUAGUACGUAAACGAGUAGAUGUGAGACUAAUUACGUAACAAAUGUUUAAAAUUCCAAUAUUUGCAACAUAAUAAUCCAUAUACGUGUGUGUGUGUGUAGAAGUAAUUAAGGAGCAAAAUCCAUUUAAAUGCUAUACGUGUGUGUAGAAGUAAUUAAGUAGCAAAACCCAUUUAAAUGCUAUACGUGUGUGUAGAAGUAAUUAAGUAGCAAAACUCAUUAUUCAAGCAUUUAAAUGUUUGCACUUGUCAAUUGUCAUUAGGCGUUUAAAAAUUAAUAUCCGGGCAUUUUUUAGUUGGGUCCAUUCUUUUUUGGAAAGAACAUAAAAUCCAUUAAAAUUUAAAAAAUGUAUCAUUGAUGCAAUACCCAAAAAACAACUGAGUAAUUAUUAGUAUUAUUUGAUUAUAUUGUUGUGAUUAUUGAUUUAUUUUCUAAUAUGAUUAAUAUUUUUUUACGUCAUUAUUAUUUUUAUUGUUAUUCGUUACUAGUAUUAAUAUUAGUAUUAAUAAUGUAUUAGUGCUUGGACGUUUUGGGUUGGGCCCAGGAUUGUUAUUGGGCCAAGUUUUAUUCGUUUUAUGUGCAGUUUACCCAAGUCCGCCAGCAAAAAAACUGAUUAUAAACAGUGAAUGAAAACGAGAGCUGGCUCCUCCUCCGCUCAUAUUGGUUGCCCAUUUUAGAUUGACGAGAGACGGGCAAAGAUUUUUCUUCGCUUUUAUCAUUGAAGUACAAAAAUUAUUUGGUAAUUAUGAAUGUGCUUAAGGUAUGCAUUUCUAUGACAUUGAGGGCUAGUCAGUAAGUUUCAACUACUGUUAAAAAAGGAGAAAGGUUAUAGGAACUAGUUCCUUGAAUAGAAUGGAGCCUAUAAUUUUAUAUGUAUAUGAUGAUGUUGAUGGGAGUUCAAUUUUGAUGUUAGGUUAUGGUUGUUGGUUUAUAAGGUUAAGCCUAUUGUCGUAACUGCCGCGACGUAAAUAAAUUAGACUUUGAACUAGGAUCACGACCAGCAAAUACAUUUGUGUGUCACUUUGUCCAUUUGCAUAGUCAAUGUAUGAAAGAUUUUUAUUUAGUACUAUUAGUACUAAUGCUAUAAUAAUAUUUUAAAAAAAUAAUUGGUCAAGCUUUAAAUAGCUUUGAUACAUAAACUACUCAUUCAAUUUUUUUUUUUCUAUUGCACUUUAGUUUCCACUCUUAAUAAAGCAAUAUUUCAUAUAUUUUAGCUUGAGUUGGUUUCUUCACCAGAAACUUGUUAUUGACUGUUUAUUCGUUUAUAUCAUUAUGAACAAUAUGCAAGACAUUUUAGGGGAUGUAAUAAUUUUUAAAUAAUGUAAAGUUUAUAAUGUCGCGCUUUCUAAUUUUUUGUAGUUAGUUUUAAGUGAACAUUUCCUUUAUCAUUUUUAAGUAUCUACUGUAUUUGUAAAAUUGAUUGGUUUUGUUCGAUAGAUUUACUCGUGAUGGCGGAUGUUUUGUGUCUGUUAGAUGUCGCUGGCUUUGAUUACUGGUUAUGUGUUGGAUGUUGCUAGGUGCUGGUGAUUUACUUUUAGCAUAUCAGUUUUAUGGUUUCAUGAGCUAUUUAUUUUGUGUAAUGGAUCAUUAGUUUAUGUACUUUUAGCAUAUUUUUUUACCACAUAGUAUGUAUCUUGGUCUUUAAUUUUUGGUUCUAGUGGACGUUGAAUUUGAUAGAACUAUUUGUGUGAACAAUGUAAUAAUUAAUUUGCCAGUAUUUUCAUUCAAUGGACAUAUAUUUCUAUUAAAUUGCAUUUUCAAAUUUUUUUAUUUCUUUUAUUUUUUAAUUUUUUCAAAUAAACAUUGAUACCACAGUGUUCGUCUUUUGAUGGUGCUAUUGUAAUAGAUGUUUUUUUUUAAUUCCAUAGUAUGAUUAUUCUUGUGAGUAUGUUGUAUUAGUAUUUGUCUAAUAGCAUAUUAAUUGAAUUCACUGACACCAAAAUCACUAACACUAAAUUAUAGUGUCAGUAUUUGUUGAAUACAAAUUUGUUGGUAUUAAAGCUCAGUGUCAGUAAAACAUAUUACUGACACUAUUUACACAUCAUUGAAGGUGAUUUUCUUUCUACUAGUGUUCGAAAUUUUACAUUUGAUGGUAUCGAUUGUAAUUCCUUUCAGCCACUACCCAUUAGCGAUAAUAUUAUCUUUACCUACAAAUCAAUAAUUUACGAAAAUUACAAAUAUUUUGUAAUAAACUAUGAUCCUAUUGCCACUUGUUUUUCUUGAAGUUUAAAUAUAAUUUGAUUUCACCUCUAAUUUUCCUUAAUACUUCUAGAAGUUCUAUGAUUGAAUUCUAAAAUUGCAAGAUUUUUUUUUUUAUUUUUUUGGUUAAUUUAACUCACAUUUAGUGGAUUAAUUCAUUCUUAAUUGAUUAGAUUGGUAAAACACAAUGAAUUUUUAAUUGAAUAAAAUGUAUGUUCAUUGGAUUGUAUAUACAAUUUAUAAAUUAUUAAUUAAUUAUUAAUUUAUCUAUUAGUUAAUAUCUCUUUAAAUUAAUAGGUAUUGUGCGGUUCCAAAAUUAUUAAUUUAUAGAAGUUUUACUGUAUCUCGCAGAAAAUUCAAACUUGGGUGGCCAACUAAAUAAAACUUCUUAAAAACUAUUUGUUAAGGAUUCUAAGGUCAAUUGUUAUCUUGCUUAUUUAUUAGGUAAAAUUGGCUAGAUAUCAUCAAAUUUUUUAUAAUUAAUGUUGUUGUUCUCUAGUUUUUAAAUACUUAGGUAAAUUUGAACUCAUUUACCUGUAACAUGCUUGAAUAAGUAAUCUAGAGAGCUUGAGUUUGUAUUUUUUUUUAAAGAGAACAACUAAGUUUUCAUUAUGUAUGAUACACACAUGCACGCGCUCACGUGCAUGGGUGUAUUUUACGCGCUGUUCCCUAUAAAUGUCUUCGACAUUUUUCUUGAGCCUUGUCCAAGCCUUAAAUUAACAUUAUUAGGAGUAAAAAUAAAAGAGAAAAAUCUUUUUUUUUUUGGGUUUUAUUGAACAGAGAGUAAUUGGCAUUGAGCCUUAGCAAGGGGGUGACUGUUAUCAUUUGGUGGUUGGGUCAAUCCCAGGAUGCGGUUUACAACAGCUUUAAUGGAGGGUGACCAAAGGAGUAAGGCUUGCCAGAUAGUGAGGACACCACAAUGCCAAUCUCAGUGCUAGUUAGAGUGACAAGCUCACUGGCCUUCUUGUAGAUCCCGGAUCUACGUUUAGAGAGUGUGAUAAUUCUAUCAUCCUUAUUUUCAAUCUUCUUCAUCUUAAUUAAUCUCUAGUUUCUUCAAGAGAUUGAGAUGAGGAGGAUUGAAAAUGAGGUGACAGGAUGAUUAACAUUCGCCAAACAGAGAUCCGAAAUCUACAAGAAGGCAAGUGAGCUUGUUACUCUCACUGGCACUGAGAUUGGAUUGUGGUGAUCUCACUAGCAAGCCUUUCUCAGUUGGUCAUCCUCCAUUGAAGCUGUUGCAAACGGUUUCCUGGGUUGAAGCAGCCAUCAAGUGACAACACUCGUCCACUUAUUGGGCUUACCGCCAGCUGAGAAAAAUAAUCAAUCUCCAGAACAAAAGAGGCAACUUCGGGUGGCGUUUUCGGAUGAAGAAUUCACAAGAGGCUUUAAAAGUUUGCGAGAGAGCUCUUGAUUUGGGGUUGUGCAUCAAAUCUUAAGAAAGGCUUCGAAUUAUUGACUUGAAACUUGAUGUAACAUUUGAUUUUAUGUCGGAAAUAAGAGCUCUCAAUCUGAUCCAAGAACGAAUAUGUGAAAAUGCAUAAAUUUGAAUGAUACAUUUAUUUUCCAUUUCUUAGUAUUGAUUAUAAACGUUACGUUGUUUUUUUUUUUUUCCUAAAACAAAAAUAUAUGGAAAUGAGUAUUUUCACAUAUAUGUAAUAUGUCCUUUAAAACCGUUAAUACUUGUUCAUUUAUUUAUUUUUUAGAAGCAUCAACUAUUAAUUUUUCAAGGUUAAAUACUUAUUUUUUUUUAUUGAUUUAGCUUUUAAGAAACAUCAGCUAUUAAUUAAUAAAUUUUUUAUAGUUCCAAUACUAGUAAUUUAUCGAGGUUUUAUUGUAAGUAAUAAUCUUUGCGAUUCUGACUUGGGAUAAAGGGCUAAAUAAAUUUAUAAUUUUGAUAAAUUAAGAAGAUAAUAAUUUCUUUUUUGAAAACACUUAUACAAACCUGGGUUGUUACCUCAUCAUAUUUUCUUUACACUUUAUAAUUAGGAAGGUGGAGGAUUUAUGUAUUUAUUCUAAGUUGUUACCAUUCCAUAUUUUGUUUAUAAAAUUGUUAAUGAAUUAAAUUCUUCAAGAGUUUAUGGUAAGUCAUUCAGUAGCUUUAUACACCUGUAUUUAAUAUGGUAAGACCUAGUUACUUAAAACAAAUAAAUUCUUGACCUUAAACUAAUUAAUUUUACGCGUCUUCUCUUAUAAAUUCAUCAUAAAACGAUCAUAUCAAAGCCCAAAAAAAUCAUUGUUCAUAGAAAAAGAAAUAAGCCCAUCACAUUGAUUUUCCAAAUGGCAGCCAAGAAAACCAGAGGAGACAAAAGAUUGAAAUGAAAAAGAUAGAGAAUGAGAACGAUAGAAUGAUAGCAUUCUCAAAACGUAGAUCAGGUAUCUACAAGAAGGCCAGUGAGCUUGCCACUCUCACUGGAGCUGAGAUUGGAAUUGUGGUGUUCUCACCAUCUGGGAAGCCUUUCUCAUUGGGUAUCCCUCCCUAGAAGCCGUUGCGAACCGCUUCCUGGGGUUGAACCAGGAGCAUCCGAAUGACAACACUCGUUUGCUGGUUGAGGCUCACCGCCGGGUGAGAAUUAGUGAGCUGAAUCAGCAGCAUAAUGAGCUGCUGCGCCAGCUGGAUGAGGAAAAUGCACGGGAGAAGAUCUUGAAGCAGAAUAGGAAGGGGAAAGAGACUCAACCACAUUGGUGGGAAACCCCAGUUAAUGAGAUCAAUCAUCAGGAGCUUCUUCAAAUGGAUGCAGCAGUUGAUGAUCUGCACAAAACUUUUCUUGCCAAACUAAAUGAAAAGACUGCUGCCGCCUCUUCCUCCAUGGCACCACCUAUGUAUUUUCAUCAUAAAUAAUAUAUCUGACUAUCCUUUAAAUUUGGCGUUUGUCUACAGAAAAUCCGAUGAAGCUACGCCUCCAAAUGAUUAACUUGAAAAUGCUAAAAAGCUACCGACCGUAAAUGCCUAGGAUACAAUUUCAGAAUGCAACUUAUUUUAUUCCCAAAACUUGGAUAUAAUUUGGUGAGCAUCUUUAGUAGCAAUACUCAAACUAAUCUGUUAAUACAUUCAAGUAAUGCUUUACCUUGAUGAACCAGAUUUAAGUAAUAAACAAACCCCACUAUGCAAUUACAUAUUCAAACUAGCUAUUGAAACCAUGAUCAUGAUAACAAGUGGAUAAAUAUACUCCCGAAAACAAGUGAAUCGUUCUAAAUAUAUUUCAAAUUCCUCCUUUUGCAAUUUGAUGGAGACGAAGGUCAGGGAUUUAGUGGGCAAUCAAAAAGAUACUUACAUGUAUAAGGUUUGGAUGGAAAUGAAAAUCAUUACCCACAAAAUAUUAACCCCUGCUCCAAAGAAUUUUUACUCAAACUCGGGUAAUCGGGUAUAAAGUGAAUUCAUGCCCAACUGAUACAAAGGAAAUAAUAAAUCUUUUCAGCUUAAAAUAUUAACACAAAAUUCUCAACCAUUCAUGUAAGUUAGAACUACAUAUGAAUAAUUUAAUUAGUAAUAGUUAAAAUGGAGAUUAUCUGAAGUAGUUAUUCAUCUACUGAUACACAGAGACAAUUGAUGUCAAGCAUUGAAAAUGCAUAAUUUUGGAGUGAUGCAUUUUUCCGAGUUGUUUAGCCGUCAACGAUUGUCGAUCUAUCAUCUGCAGUGGUAUUAUCAGCUAAACAGUCAAGCACAACAUGGAAAUAAUUUUUUUGAAACAAAUUUAAGAAGAUUGAUUGAUGACAACAAAAAACCUUGAAGUUUUAGCAAGUACAGGAGUAGGGUGAGACUAAUUAGGUAACAAAUUUAAAAAAUUCUAAUGUUGGUAAUAUAUAUAUAUAUAUAUAUAUGAAGUAAUGAAGAAGCAAAUCCAUUGUUCAAGCAUUUAAAUGUUUACUUGUCAUUGGGUGUUUAAAAUUAAAUCCCAGAAUUUUUUAGUUGGGUGCUUUUUUUGAAGGUGGGGGGGGGGGGAGGGAGAACCUGAAAUCCAUAAAAAUAUAAAAAUGUGACAUUUGUGUAAUACCCAAAAAAAAAUUGAGUAAUUAUCUGUACUAUUUUAAUUAUAUUGCUGCCAUUAUUGAUUUAUUCUCUUAUUUGAUUUUUUUUUAAUUACGUCAUUAUUAAUGUUAUUUGUUGCUACUAUUAAUGUUGGUAUCAGUAUUAAUAAUGUAUUAGUGCUUGGACUUUUUGGUUUGGGCCUACGAUUGUGUUGGCCAAGUAUUAUUUGUCUUAUAUGCAGUUUACCCAAGCCCGCUAGCAAAAUAGCUAAUUAAUGUUGUGAAAUAAAUUGAAAGCUAGCUCCUCCUCCGCUCAUAUGGGUCGCCAACUUGAGAUUGAAGAGAGAAAGAUUUUUCUUAGCUUUUAUCAUUGAAGUUAUGAGUACAAAAUUAUUGGGCAAUUAUGCAGGCGCUCAAGGUAUUNNNNNUUAAUUAAUUAANNNNNCCUUGAUACGGAGCUGGAGCUUCUAACUAUGAUGAAUGCGCUAACUAUCGAUAUGAUGUCGGAAAUAGGCCGAUUUUAUAUCACCCUUCAAUUCGAAUUAGCAAAAGCAAUGUCUCCUUGCAUAAUAUGGAUUCCAAACAUUCAUGAUCUGGAUGUGAAUGAGUCGAAUUACUUAUCCCUCGGUCUAUUAGUGAACUAUCUCUCCAGGGAUUGUGAAAGAUGUUCCACUAGAAAUAUUCUUGUUAUUGCUUCGACUCAUAUUCCCCAAAAAGUGGAUCCCGCUCUAAUAGCCCCGAAUAAAUUAAAUACAUGCAUUAAGAUACGAAGGCUUCUUAUUCCACAACAACGAAAGCACUUUUUCACUCUUUCAUAUACUAGGGGAUUUCACUUGGAAAAGAAAAUGUUCCAUACUAAUGGAUUCGGGUCCAUAACCAUGGGUUCCAAUGCACGAGAUCUUGUAGCACUUACCAAUGAGGCCCUAUCGAUUAGUAUUACACAGAAGAAAUCAAUUAUAGACACUAAUACAAUUAGAUCUGCUCUUCAUAGACAAACUUGGGAUUUGCGAUCCCAGGUAAGAUCGGUUCAAGAUCAUGGGAUCCUUUUCUAUCAGAUAGGGAGGGCUGUUGCACAAAAUGUACUUCUAAGUAAUUGCCCCAUAGAUCCUAUAUCUAUCUAUAUGAAGAAGAAAUCGUGUAACGAAGGGGAUUCUUAUUUGUACAAAUGGUACUUCGAACUUGGAACGAGCAUGAAGAAAUUAACGAUACUUCUUUAUCUUUUGAGUUGUUCUGCCGGAUCGGUCGCUCAAGACCUUUGGUCUCUACCCGGACCCGCUGAAAAAAAAACGGGAUCACUUCUUCUGGACUCGUUGAGAAUGAUUUCUGAUCUAGUCCAUGGCCUAUUAGAAGUAGAAGGCGCUCUGGUGGGAUCCUCGCGGACAGAAAAAGAUUGCAGUCGGUUUGAUAAUGAUCGAGUGACAUUGCUUCUUCGGCCCGAACCAAGGAAUCCCUUAGAUAUGAUGCAAAAAGGAUCUUUUCUAUCGUUGAUCAGAGAUUUCUCUAUGAAAAAUACGAAUCGGAGUUUGAAGAAGGGGAAGGAGAAGGAGUCCUCGACCCGCAACAGAUAGAGGAGGAUUUAUUCAAUCACAUAGUCUGGGCUCCUAGAAUAUGGCGCCCCUGGGGCUUUCUAUUUGAUUGUAUCGAAAGGCCCAAUGAAUUGGGAUUUCCCUAUCGGGCCGGGUCAUUUCGGGGCAAGCGGAUCAUUUAUGAUGAAAAGGAUGAGCUUCAAGAGAAUGAUUCGGAGUUCUUGGCAGAGUAGAACCAUGCAGUACCAGACACGAGAUAGAUCUUCCAACGAACAAGGCUUUUUUCGAAUAAGCCAAUUCAUUUGGGAACCUGCGGAUCCACUCUUUUUCCUAUUCAAAGAUCAGCCCCUUGUCUCUGUGUUUUCACACCGAGAAUUCUUUGCAGAUGAAGAGAUGUCAAAGGGGCUUCUUACUUCCCAACCAGAUCCUCCUACAUCUAUAUAUAAACGCUGGUUAUCAAGAAUACGCAAGAAAAGCACUUCGAAUUGUUGAUUCAUCGCCAGAGAUGGCUUAGAACCAAUAGUUCAUUAUCUAAUGGAUUUUUCCGUUCUAAUACUCCAUCCGAGAGUUAUCAGUAUUUAUCAAAUCUGUUCCUAUCUAACGGAACGCUAUUGGAUCAAAUGACAAAGACAUUGUUGAGAAAAAGAUGGCUUUUCCGGAUGAAAUGAAAAUUGGAUUCAUGUAACAGGAGAAAGGUUUCCCAUUACUUAGCCGGAAAGAUAUGUGGCCAUGAAAUAGGGAUUAAGUGGAAGAGAAUUGACUGGGUGGUAGAGUCGUGGAAACACCUGUUUCUUCCAUAUUUUGGACCUUAGCUCCAUGGAACAAUAUGCUACUGCUGAAACAUAGAAGAAUUGAAAUCUUAGAUCAAAAACACUAUUAGGAUGGUAUGAACUGCUAAACAAGAAAUCUUGAAACAGCGAACCACCAGAGCUAUUACUAACUACAUCAAAAAAUUUCCAUUAAUGAAAGAUAAAGAUAAAAUCUAUGGAAAAUAAAAAAUACGCAGUCGGAUGAAAUGGUUUGCUAUCUGCUCCAAUAACGAAUCAUUGGUUUAACUGAAUAACUAAAUAAAAUAGAUAGACCCUCUCUUCGUCUCAGUCAAUGGAUCUUCUCAAUUGAAGAUCCCCUAAUGGAUAAUACACAUCCAGUGACCAAGCAUAAAUUCGAAUCUUUUGUUCCGAAGGAAAGAUAUCCACGGCGGUUCGCCCUAUUCAGAUAUUCACGACCAAGAAGAAGAAGUACUGGAUCUCUUUCGGAUAGGUCCUGAAAGGAAAGGAAAGCUGGAAGCCAACAGGCGUCUAUUAUGAAUUCACCCGACCCGAUAGUACCAAAUUUGGAACGUCCAGUGCCAAGGUCACUGGACGGGUAAGUCGCCAAUCCCUAAAACGGACUAUGUAAUGUACUUUAUCUGCUGGUUACAGGCGGGCAUUUUACCAGAGGUUUAUAUGUAUCAAUCUACCCUUGUGUGAUUCCUGUUGAAGCGUAUACUCGGGGGGUGGGUGCAGGCGGACGAUUUCAAAGCGGACUCCCCAUUCAUUAGAUAGAGAAGAUCACCAAGAUUUCGUGAUCCGCUGCCGAACUAUUCCAAUUCCAA
rnacentral:lncRNA from 1 species